rnacentral:rRNA from 1 species
GAUGAACGCUGGCGGCGUGCCUAACGCAUGCAAGUCGAGCGAUUCUCUUCGGAGAAGAGCGGCGGACGGGUGAGUAACGCGUGGGUAACCUGCCCUGUACACACGGAUAAUAUACCGAAAGGUAUACUAAUGCGAGAUGAUAUAUUUUUAUUGCAUGAUAAAAAUAUCAAAGCUUUUGCGGUACAGGAUGGACCCGCGUCUGAUUAGCUAGUUGGUAAGGUAACGGCUUACCAAGGCGACGAUCAGUAGCCGACCUGAGAGGGUGAUCGGCCACACUGGAACUGAGACACGGUCCAGAUUCCUACGGGAGGCAGCAGUGGGGAAUAUUGCACAAUGGGCGAAAGCCUGAUGCAGCAACGCCGCGUGAGCGAUGAAGGCCUUCGGGUCGUAAAGCUCUGUCCUCAAGGAAGAUAAUGACGGUACUUGAGGAGGAAGCCCCGGCUAACUACGUGCCAGCAGCCGCCGUAAGAC